GACUGGGAACCAGCGACAAAUCGAUAUAGUGCAUGCUGGGCAGCACGAGAUAGGACGGUCUCUUGUGCAUGGGACGUUGAGGUGAGUAGAUGUGUUUAUGUGCCUAUGUCCCUAUGUGAGUAUUGUGUGUGAAAUAGUGAGCCUGCGUAUAGUUUAUAUUGUAUUAUAUGGUAUUGUAUUGUAUAUGUGUGUCGGUAACUGUGAGCCUGUAAUUGUGAACCUGUGCGUGUAACCCUGAGUACGUAAGUAGUUCCAGGGGGUUUAGCCUGUGUAUGUAAGCCAGUGUCUAGCUGUGAGCCUGUGCGUAUUGUAUUAUAUUGUAUUUUAUGUGCGUUCAACACGUAUUUACCUGGAAGGCCAUUCCCAGAAGAUAUAAGUGAGUCUGUGACUGUGUAUGUAAGCCGGUGACUGUGUGUUUAAGUACGUGUUUGCCUGGAAGUGUAUUCCCAGAAGUACAUGUAUAGUGCCAUUUCGUGACGUGGACGAGCCGACAAGUGUACCCGACGAGCCGACGAGUGCACCCGACGAGCCGACGAGUGUACCCGACGAGCCGACGCGUGAAGCCGACAAGUUCCCUCGAAGACGACGAGGACGAUUGGUGCCGUCCAGACGUGGAUUCCAGUCGAUGCCCAUGAUACAACCAUAAUUAAACCAAGAAGUUUAUGAAGAAGGGAUCACUGGAUUUUGUCACUUUGGUACAAGAAACAGAAAAGGAUAUCAUAGACCACCUUACUUAUACGGAAGCAUAGGAGCUGUUGAAGGAAAUCGCUGCCAGACAGUCAGCAGUUAUCACUGACAGCCUGUCCUGGCCCAGCUUGGACCAUCCUCAAGCUAACCAUGAUGAAAAAGGGUUAAGUGGUGACUGAUCCUCUCACCCUCCUUAUCCAGGAAACAUUUCGGAACAACGUGUUGGCACUGAAGAUGUGGAGGACACAGAUUGAUCACAGUACAUCCUUUGGAUACAUGGACACCUUCAACGUGACGACAACAAAACUGUACCUGCCUUUUUUUUGAAAGGAAGUAGUUAAUAAAAUUAUUGUUAACAGCUUUUUUAGUCUUGUUGUUUAAGAAUGCUUGCACCAUUUAAGUGGAUAAACGGUUGUUUUAAAUUUGAAUCUUCAGUAAUGCAUUCUUUAUUAAAUGAUGUAAUCUUAUUUCUUUCAAUAUAGUGUAAAUAAUAAGAACAUAAUUAUCCUUUGUAUACAAAAUGAAAACCAAGUUUACUGUUCUAUUAAUCAUUAUUUAUUUAUCUUGUUCUUUUGUCAGAAAUAUCACAGGGGCAUACAUACAGUAUUCCUUAAAUAAAAGGGGCAGUUCUAAGAAAAUUAACAUGUAUUUUAGCAAUGCAUAUUCAAACUUUUUCCACAUUUAUAACCAGCAACAAUAUGUAAGUAGUAUAAUGUAACACAAAUUAAUACUAUGAAUUUACUACUGAUUUUGCCGUGCCUGUCAUCAAACAUGUUUGACUGAAAGUUUCUUAAAAGAUGUUAUGUGGAAGACUUAAUCAAUCAUUUAAUAAAUAUUUGAGCCACGCUCUGGGAAAAGUGGGUUUAAUGCAUGUACUUAAGGUUGUCCAAGAUUAGGCUGUGCAGACUGCACAGGCUAAUCAGGGGCAACACUUUCCGCCUUAUCUGGAUUUUCUCUAAGAGACUCCAUUUCAACAAAAAAUACAAUAAAGCAGCAAUUGUCUGCCUGAUUGGUAUGAUCAGCACAUGUUAAUCUCGUACGACAAUUUACGCACAUGCAUUAAGCCCCAUUUUCACAGGGCAAGGCUCAUCUAUUUAGGUUUUAGCUGUCUAUAUGCUCUUUAACUUUUGAAUCAUGAUGCAGUUUCAUAUAAUAAUGUAUUAUGAGUUGUUUUUAAUUGAUGCAUAUUCUUUUGUUCAGUGUUGAACUCAACAUGUAUUAUAAUAAGGUGUUCACUUAACAUUCUUGCAGUAAUGCUUUGCUGUGUAAUAUACAUGUAAUAAUAAAUCAAA